rnacentral:rRNA from 1 species
CGAGUGAGCGGCAAAGCUCAAAUUUGAAAUCUGGUACCUUCGGUGCCCGAGUUGUAAUUUGGAGAGGGCAACUUUGGGGCCGUUCCUUGUCUAUGUUCCUUGGAACAGGACGUCAUAGAGGGUGAGAAUCCCGUGUGGCGAGGAGUGCGGUUCUUUGUAAACUGCCUUCGAAGAGUCGAGUUGUUUGAAAAUGCAUCUCUGAGGGGGUGGUAAAUUCCAUCUAAAGCUAAAUAUUGGCGAGAGACCGAUAGCAAACAAGUACAGUGAUGGAAAGAUGAAAAGAACUUUGAAAAGAGAGUGAAAAAGUACGUGAAAUUGUUGAAAGGGAAGGAUUUUUGAUCAGACGUGGUGUUUUGUCCCCUCUGCUCCUUGGGGGGAGGGGAAUCUCUUAUUUCACUGGGCCACCAUUAUUUUUGGGGGAAAGAUAAAUCCAUAGGAAUGUUCCUUGCCUCGGUAAGUAUUAUA